UACGAAGGGGGCUAGCGUUGUUCGGAAUUACUGGGCGUAAAGCGUAUGCAGGCGGAUCGUUAAGUCGGGGGUGAAAUCCCGAGGCUCAACCUCGGAACUGCCUUCGAUACUGGCGACCUUCGAGUCCGGGAGAGGUGAGUGGAACUCCGAGUGUAGAGGUGAAAUUCGUAGAUAUUCGGAAGAACACCAGUGGCGAAGGCGGCUCACUGGCCCGGUACUGACGCUGAGGCGCGAAAGCCAGGGGAGCGAACGGG
rnacentral:rRNA from 1 species